UACGUAGGUGGCGAGCGUUAUCCGGAUUUAUUGGGCGUAAAGCGUGCGCAGGCGGCUUAUUAAGUCUAAGAUUAAAGCCCGGAGCUUAACUCCGGUUCGUCUUAGAAACUGGUAGGCUUGAGUAUGGUAGAGGCAAACGGAAUUCCUAGUGUAGCGGUGGAAUGCGUAGAUAUUAGGAGGAACACCAGUGGCGAAGGCGGCUUACUGGACAGUAACUGACGUUGAGGCUCGAAAGCGUGGGGAGCAAACGGG
rnacentral:rRNA from 1 species